UACGGGGGGGGGCAAGCGUUGUUCGGAAUUACUGGGCGUAAAGGGUGCGUAGGCGGCUUUCUAAGUUGGAUGUGAAAACUAUGGCUCAACCCAUAGCCUGCAUCCAAAACUGGAGAGCUUGGGUUCUGGAGGGGAAAGCGGAAUUCCUGGUGUAGCGGUGAAAUGCGUAGAUAUCAGGAGGAACACCGGUGGCGAAGGCGGCUUUCUGGACAGACACCGACGCUGGAGGCACGAAAGCUAGGGGAGCAAACAGG
rnacentral:rRNA from 1 species